UGGCGGCGUGCCUAAUACAUGCAAGUCGAACGAGUUCUCGUUGAUGAUCGGUGCUUGCACCGAGAUUCAACAUGGAACGAGUGGCGGACGGGUGAGUAACACGUGGGUAACCUGCCCUUAAGUGGGGGAUAACAUUUGGAAACAGAUGCUAAUACCGCAUAGAUCCAAGAACCGCAUGGUUCUUGGCUGAAAGAUGGCGUAAGCUAUCGCUUUUGGAUGGACCCGCGGCGUAUUAGCUAGUUGGUGAGGUAAUGGCUCACCAAGGCGAUGAUACGUAGCCGAACUGAGAGGUUGAUCGGCCACAUUGGGACUGAGACACGGCCCAAACUCCUACGGGAGGCAGCAGUAGGGAAUCUUCCACAAUGGACGCAAGUCUGAUGGAGCAACGCCGCGUGAGUGAAGAAGGCUUUCGGGUCGUAAAACUCUGUUGUUGGAGAAGAAUGGUCGGCAGAGUAACUGUUGUCGGCGUGACGGUAUCCAACCAGAAAGCCACGGCUAACUACGUGCCAGCAGCCGCGGUAAUACGUAGGUGGCAAGCGUUAUCCGGAUUUAUUGGGCGUAAAGCGAGCGCAGGCGGUUUUUUAAGUCUGAUGUGAAAGCCCUCGGCUUAACCGAGGAAGCGCAUCGGAAACUGGGAAACUUGAGUGCAGAAGAGGACAGUGGAACUCCAUGUGUAGCGGUGAAAUGCGUAGAUAUAUGGAAGAACACCAGUGGCGAAGGCGGCUGUCUGGUCUGUAACUGACGCUGAGGCUCGAAAGCAUGGGUAGCGAACAGGAUUAGAUACCCUGGUAGUCCAUGCCGUAAACGAUGAAUGCUAGGUGUUGGAGGGUUUCCGCCCUUCAGUGCCGCAGCUAACGCAUUAAGCAUUCCGCCUGGGGAGUACGACCGCAAGGUUGAAACUCAAAGGAAUUGACGGGGGCCCGCACAAGCGGUGGAGCAUGUGGUUUAAUUCGAAGCAACGCGAAGAACCUUACCAGGUCUUGACAUCUUUUGAUCACCUGAGAGAUCAGGUUUCCCCUUCGGGGGCAAAAUGACAGGUGGUGCAUGGUUGUCGUCAGCUCGUGUCGUGAGAUGUUGGGUUAAGUCCCGCAACGAGCGCAACCCUUAUGACUAGUUGCCAGCAUUUAGUUGGGCACUCUAGUAAGACUGCCGGUGACAAACCGGAGGAA
rnacentral:rRNA from 2 species